GAGCUGAGGUUGGAUAUCUGUGUCAAGGACGGUUCUGAAAGGACGUGGUCUCAUGAACAGCUCUUUACUUUGGGAUGGAGAGAAGAUAUCCGACCCGGGGAGCCACUUCACACCCGAAAAUUCUGCUUCGAUGCAAUCUCGCACAACAGCCCGGUCACUCUCUAUGACUGUCACGGCAUGAAGGGGAACCAGCUCUGGGGAUACAGAAAGGACAGAACAUUAUUCCAUCCUGUGAGCAACAGCUGUGUGGACUGCAACCCCGCAGAGAAGAAGAUUUUCAUGGCCAGAUGUGACCCUCUCUCUGAGACUCAGCAGUGGGUUUUUGAACAUCUUAAUAUGACUGUUUUAGAAAAAUUUAACCACCAUGCCAGCUCCUAGGAAGAAGGAAGGAGGAAAGAACGAGUGAUUACCUACAGAUUAUAAAAACUAAAUUUUAGCCAGCAUCUGGGUCGAAGGAGUCAGGAAUAACAUUUCCUAGAUCCAGGAAGCCUGGUUUAAAGAUUUGUAAAUGCCAUGUCAAAGUAGGUUGUCCUGCAGAAAUUCCUGCAUCUGAAGAACUUGGCCGAGAACCUCACCAGCUGCAUCUGAGAACUCGAGACUAGCAGUGCCCUUGCUGGACAAGGGCAAAGAUUACUUAAGGACUUUUCAAAACAACUGCUGAGUUAAUAAAUCCUAGCAUUUCUCAGGUCAAAUCCUGCAGUAGUGAGUAGCUAUGAAUGGAUCCUAUUAACUGGGUGGGAGGGGGGCGGAAAUAGAGUGCAUGACUGCUCUGAAAAGCUGAGGAUACCGCAGGUUUAGAACGAGCCACACUUAAGGGGUGAGCUGUACUCUUUGGUGCCAUUCUCUGACUAAGAAUGGGUUAAGCAGGUUUAACCCUUCAAAGUGCUGCAGAUGAUUUUCGAGUGCUCAUACCAUUCUGUUCUCUUGUUUUAUUUUUAAACGAGGGUGCACUAUCUAAUGGAAGACGUAAAUUACAUAAUGAAACGAACUUCCAAUGUUCCCGUUCUUUCAUUUACAUUUGCCAUUUUCCUUUUUAGAGCAGAGGUAACUUAUUGUUCGUAAAAGCUCACGCUCCACAAAUCUGCUGAAGUUCUAAUUCAGUGCCCUUGUAUAAAUCCUGUUUCAAAACAAAACAAAACAAAAUCUAUGCUACCAAGUUACUCCAAAGAGAAAGAUUUCACAGAAGCAGCAAAACCAUGCAAGGUUGAGGAGAGGGAUUUCCCUAGGAAAUCUAUUUUUACUUUUCUAUUACUUUUAGAAUUUUAAAAGUCUGAUGUUUGUCCAGUCAUAAUUUUUAUUAAGGAAGGAAAUGGAGUGAGGUUGAUGUAAUCUGUUGAGGAGAUUCUUAAA